rnacentral:lncRNA from 1 species
GGCAGAGGGAGAAGGGGGCUCCAUGCAGGGAGCCCAAUAUGGGACCUGGGAUUACACCCUGAACCAAAAGUAGACGCUCAACCACUGAGCGAGCCACCCAGGCAUCCCACUUUACUUCAUGUUGCAAAAAAAAAAAAAAAAAAAAAAAAAAAAAAAAAACCUGUCUGGUUCUUAAAUGUAGAAAGAUGAGGAAGAAGUUUGGACAGUAACCUGUUUUUCAUCCUCAGCUUUUGGAAUGCAUUCUGGUUAUUUAGUUGAAAAUUAAACUUAUCCUGAAAGUUUCUUGGUUAAAUAUAUAUAAAUACAUACAUGCAUACAUACAACAUUCAAAAUGUUAUUUUAUUUUAUUAUAUUUCCUUAUAUAGACUAAAUAAAAUCCCUUAAUGUAGUCAUUUUUAGACAGGGCAGUUUCUUCAUAUUUUUAAUAUAAAGUAUUUUUUCUUUAGUAAUCUAUGCUACCACAUUAUUCUAUAGAAAUUCAGCGUAACAAAAUAUAACGUGGACAAAAGCUAAGCAUAGAAAAUUGGUUUACUGUAUUAUAUACCAGAAACCCAGUACAGUUUUUUAAGUCAAACUCUUUCAUUUUUAGACUAUAAGUUAAAGAUAUUGUCAGGAUAUUUUAUCAUGAAUAUAUAUAUUAAUAAAAUUCUAUUAUAUAAUAUUUUCUAUUCAUGGAAAUAUGCAGUUUAUUAAUAUAUGUAUUAUUUAACAAUAUGUUAUUUUAUUAUAUAUUUUAUAUACAUUAUAUAUGUUAUACACAUACAAUGUAUAUAUUAUGUUAUACAUGAUUAUAAUUGUAUAUGUUAUGUUAUAUACAAUUAAUGUAUAAAUAUAAUUUAUAUACUAAAUUAUAUAUUAAUAUAUUAUAUUACCAUACAAAUAUGGCCAUACAGUGUAACAAAUAUGACAUAAGCCACAAGGGUGGCAUGGUCAUUUGGCAAGGAGUAUUGGGGGGAGGCUCAUCCUGCCUAUCCUGGGAGGUAAUUUAAAACUAUUUAAGGGACACCUGGGCCAAAGGCAGAUGCUCAACCACUGAGCCACCCAGGAACCCCUAGCAAGGACCUUUAAAUCUGAGGUAAGGUUCUUUCUAUUUUUAAAAGGUGAUAUUAUUAUUAUUCUAGGAAGUUUCCAAAAUAUUUUUUUAGUUAAAAUAUUUACCCUCAAGAAGGUAUAAGACAAGGAAUAAUAAUAUAAUAACAAUAUGAGUAGAUGAAUACAUAAACAAACAAAAAUAGAUUGCUGAUCAUCAACCACCUGAACAUUUGAGGAUGACUCUCUGAAUAUUUCUAGGGAUUUUUUUGUUCAACUCAUUCUUCUUUCCUAUGAAUAUUUAGCUACUUGGAAUCUCAGAUGCCUCGACUCAGGGAGUCCAUCAGCCCAUUUCCUCUUUGUGUUUGGACAUUCUUGAAAGAGUGAAACAGGACACUUGUAAGGCUGGCUUCAUUUGUUUCCAGUGUUUCAGGGAUGAAUGGUCUUUAUUGGCUGAUGUCCAGGAGUUUUGAAACUUUUGAUUCACAUAUUUUAUCUGUUGUGUUUUUUGUUGUUACUGCUGUUGUUACAUGGGGGGAAGAUAAAUCCUGUCCCUAGUGGUCCAUCUGGUCCAGAAGGAAGAGAGCACCUACCUGUCUGCUUAAUAUUUUGUGGAACCAAAUGAGAGGUACACAAACAGCAUUUCUGCAACAUACAUAAAUAUGUUUUGUUAAGAAAAAGCAUUUGUCCAUUUGAGUUGAGAGCUGAUCAGUCCCCUUAUUUUCAUGAAAAACUAUUUUUACUUGAAAGAUUAACUGACAAUCUAUGUUUUUUUUAAAUACUUGGGUAUUGGCAAAUAUUGAAUUAAAUAUGAAAGAAGUGAUCUUGCCACUUCAAAGAAAAUCAACUGAUAUUUGCUGCCAGUGAUAAGAUUUAAGCUUUUAAGGGAAAAUUAGAAUUUUGGAAAACUUGUGACUACUACUAUGAGCUUGAGAGCUUCCCAAUCCUUACAAACUUUUCUGAUAAAGACAGUAUAACAUAUAAAAUAUGUUAAUAUUUGAAAUAAAUGCACAACUCAGUGAACUAGUAUUUUUCAAGUGAUCAAUAGCAGAAAAACAUGUAGAGUAAAAGACCAAGGUGAAAGAGAGAGCAUUUUAUGUAAUAGUAAAAGAUAACAGUUUAGCAGUGUGCUUUGGUUUCAGAUUGCACAUCGCAAUAAAGCUUUAAUAGACUACCACUUACUGAGUUUUGGUGUAGUAUGGAGAAGAAUAUCCAAAGUUUUCUGGAACGUCCAUUAAAAUACUCCUCUUAUUUCCGACAACAUAUCUGUGUGAGUCUAGAUUUUCACAUCGAACAAAAGAGCAUGUUGCAACCCACUGAACUCAGAAGCAAACAUCAGAAUCUCUGUCUUCUGUGAAGCCAGACACUGCAGAGAUGUGCAGAAAUGUAAAAUAGCACCACUCUUAUUAUUUUCAGGGGGGAUAAAAUAGAGCCCAUUUCCUUCUAAAAUAUAUUAUUUCCUUUAACAUAUAGUGUAAUUAUUAAUGUAAUUAUUGUUUUAAAAAAGAGUUAAUGUUUUAUUUUUUAAAACUUUAAUUUCAUACACGGUAAAAAAAAAUUCUUACAUGGUAAAUAUUGACAAAUAUAACCAAUGUAAAACAAAUGUUCUAUGAGAUUCUCAAUAAAGGGAGUCAGAAACCAGAAAGUUAUUUUUCUAAUCAUUGUGAUAUUAUGGGUAUAGCCAACAUUUUCAAGCACUUACUGUAUGCUUUGUGUUAACAAACUCUGCUAAUAUAUUCUCUAUUGUUGAAUUCUCACAAUAGAAUAAUAAGGUUAAUGUUAUUAUAAUCUCAUUUUUUUUUAUAAAUGUAGAAAAUAAGGCACAAUUUCCCCAAAGCUACACAACUCUUAAAUGGAAAAAAGUCAGAAUUUGGACAUGGGCAACAUGGCUGCUUUGACCACAUUCUGAAAUACCAUUCUGUAUUUCUGUGCUAUGUUUGUUCUAAAUCUUACAGUGGUUUCAACAUUCAAAAUUUUUAUUAGAAUUAUUUUAAAUAUCUAUGGCAUUUAUGAAGUUUGUGAUCAAUUUUUAAAUAUUGGUGGUAAUUUGUCAAAUUCUCAAGUUAGUAUUUAUUUUUCAUUACUGAGUACAUAUUGAGGGAUAUUGGUAGUUUAAUGUUUAAGGAUAUCAUUUGUUAGGGUAAUUUUAGGACUAAUAUGUCAAGGAAGUAUCAAAGUCGAGGGAGUAGCAGUGUUCCUUUCCAUACACAAAAGCUGAAGUACUGAGGAUGAGCACCAUUUGGAUACCAGACAUAAUUGUAAAAAUGAUGGCAAAUCACAUAAGAGCUUUGAGCUGUACUUGAAUUGAGCGUACACCAACCCUGUGAUUUGUACAUCUUUUUAUUUGAGGAUAAUGAUAGUACUUGACUGUGACAGGAGGACUUACUAAAGACUCAUGGACUCUUCCGCUAGCAAUUGCAUGCAGGGGCCAUUCUAUUCACAUUCUAACUUUCUGAAUCAGUUAAGAUUUAUACGACUGGGGUAUCUCUUGAUUUAGACUCACUUAUAAAACUGAGAUACAGAAAAACAAAUUAAGAAUACUUCCAAUAAAGUAUGAAAUGCUUUUUUUUAUUCUUAAGGGAGUCAUGAGGAAGUCUUUUGAAGUGAAAUGCCCUUAUGUCAACAACUUAGUUUCAAAUGGUAGAGCAAAUCAAACAAAAACAAAACAAGCACCAGUCCACCCCACUUGUGUGUGUAUGUGUGUGCAUGUAGAAAAGUAGAAACAUAGUGAAAUGUCCAAAAAAAAAAAAA